rnacentral:rRNA from 1 species
AUGUCGACGAGCCCUCGUUCCGUCACCUCCGCCGUUCCGCCCCGGGAGCGACCGGUGGUUUCCGGGCUAGGCAUCUCCUCUGCUUCGGAGAAAUCGAUGGCGGACGCAGAUCCGGAGGCAGUGCAAGAUCUAGGGUUUGGUGGCCGAGUCCUGUCGGCGCCUGAUCCCGUCGAAGGAGGCCCCGCCGUCGCGGAAGACCCUGUGGAAACGCAGGCGUGGUGUUGGGCAACCGGUAGUGGCACCGCGCCCCCCUACCCUGCUCGCAAGGCGAUCUCGCCGGAGAUGCGCGACAAGUGCUUCCGCUACCUUGAGAAGGGGCACUUCCGGCGGGACUAUAUGAACGACGUCGUGUGCAUCUGGUGUAGCCUGCCGGGGUACGAAUCCAAGGACUGCAAGCAUCCGCGCAGCCCAUCGCCGGAGGAGGAGCUCAGGCGGGAAGCGGCGGCCAAGGUGACCAGAAGGGUGACGCUGGCUAGGGGCUGGGAUGGUUCCGCUUCGGGUUCGGCGGCUGAGCCUCACUGGGCCUCCUCCGCGGCUCGUCAGGCUCCCCCUCCUCCGCGGCUCGUUCAUGCCUACCGGCCGGAGGAUUUCCUGGUUGUGUUUGCUCGCCAGGAGGACAGGAACAGGUUGGGUCAAAGCCCUACGUUGAGGCAUCUCGGAGUCAGGGCGUUCUUCCGCCAAUGGAACAGGCAAUCUCACGCGGUUCAUGCGGUGAUGAGAUACAAGGUGUUGGUCGAGAUGGAAGGGAUUCCUCCGCGCGCCUGGGACCGUGGCGUCGCAGAAGACCUACUUGGCUCGUCAUGCAUCAUCGAUUCAGUGGCGCCGAAGACAAGCUCGCGAUUGAACCUUUCUUCUUUCAAGUUAUCCGCUUGGACGACAGACCCACAGACAAUCCUUGCCCGCCGCUGGCUUGCGGUGCUGGAGCCGGCCACGCACAUGUUCGAGUCGCAGAUGCUGCAAUACAAGAUCCUGAUUCAUAUGGAUUCGGUUACGGAUUUCGCCGACGCCGACGAGCCAUUCUUCCUUGGGGGUUAUUCGAACAGUGGCCAAAGCGGCUUGCCAGAAGAGGAGAAGGAGAUGGAGAGAGGUGGUGGUGCGACCACCAGGCGGAGGAGAUGGCAGUUCGGAGUCAUGGACACACCCGCCGUGACACUGCUCAGGGUCACAGCAGCAGUCGUGUUGGCAGCAGGCAGCACGCCGGCGGCGAAGGUAGCUCGUCAGCGUCCCAAGACUGGAGGAUCCCGCCAAUGGUAG